UUAAGUUAAUGUGAUAUCGAAAGUAACCGCGAAUUCCUUAUUGCAAGCAAAACGGUGGACUUAGUACAGUAACCUUGGCCUUGACAUUGACCGCGGCGUCCCGACGCUACGCAGUUGCAUCAGAGUGCACAAUAAUGCGCGCGAGGAAACACACAACUACUGUUCUCUCUAUAUAUGUAUUAUUUAUUGAGUAUCUAUAGAUGUAUGUGUUGAUGUAUAUGCAACUAAAUAUGGAUGUAUUUAGUGAGUGACAGAGGAGAAUAAGAGGUAUCAGAAAACGCUGGAGAAGGAGUAGUGCACAUCUAUAAGGAUAGCACAUAUUCUGUAAUACAGCGAAUUACAUAAACUGACAUGAUUUUUUAAAAUAAUGAGCCAAUGAUUUACCGCUGCAUAAGUGACGUAAACUCAGACAAGGAUAAAUCAUUCUUAGAAAAUGGUGAAAAUAAAAAAUUUAAUUUUUCGGGUGAAAAAAUUAUUUCUGGGUAAAUGUUUACUAGUUUCGUCUAGUUUAGACUUUUAAUGUAACAGUCCAUGGAAAAUGUAUCCCUAAUAAAACGUCCUUGGUUGCUAAGUCAACGAAUAAUAUCAGAUGAUUAUUGAGUGGAUAUCAUCAGCCAACAACUCGUGGGCAGUAUAAAAAUAAGCAAAGUUUCUCUAGAAAAAGACCAGCCACUAGUUAUUAAUAAAGCCACGCUUUGUGAGCUUGUAUUGUGAUGAGUUCAAGGUAUCGGUCGUAUUAGAGGCCACUGUCAAGUCUAUUAGUCGUUGAAACACCUACAUAUGUGUGCUGCAUAUAUAUACACAUAUAAACAGUUCAUGUCCAUGUAUAGCUAAGCGACGUCAUUACAUACGAACCGAGGGGUGCCUGAAAUAAAGCAAGGUCAUGUUUAACCAAGGCCACAUGCCGAUAGGUGUAUCGGCCCCUGUAUCUAGCGAAACUAUUCAUGACACCUUCGCCACCUACUACAAGCUACAAUAGUCGUGUAUAGUGACACAAAAAAAUUCAUUUAACAUACAGUCAUCUUUUUUUUCUCCAAUAAAUCUAUUCGAUUUGUACAAUACAUAAUACAUAAAUAUAUAU